rnacentral:rRNA from 1 species
UACGUAGGUGGCAAGCGUUGUCCGGAAUUAUUGGGCGUAAAGCGCGCGCAGGCGGUCCUUUAAGUCUGAUGUGAAAGCCCACGGCUCAACCGUGGAGGGUCAUUGGAAACUGGGGGACUUGAGUGCAGAAGAGGAAAGUGGAAUUCUAAGUGUAGCGGUGAAAUGCGUAGAGAUUUGGAGGAACACCAGUGGCGAAGGCGACUUUCUGGUCUGUAACUGACGCUGAGGCGCGAAAGCGUGGGGAGCAAACAGG